rnacentral:rRNA from 1 species
UGACGUAGGGGGCUAGCGUUUGUCCGGAUUUAUUGGGACGUAAAAGAGCGUGUUAGGCGGCCUGGUAGGUCUGCUGAUGAAAACUCGAGGCUCAAACCUCGAGAUGUCCGGCGGAAAACCAUCUGGCUAGAGUCCGGAAGAGGAGAGUGGAAAUUCCUGGUGUAGCGGUGAAAAUGCGCAGAUAUCAGGAAAGAACACCUAUGGCGAAGGCAGCUCUCUGGGACGGUACUGACGCUGAAGGAGCGAAAAGCGUGGGGGAGCGAACAGG